rnacentral:rRNA from 1 species
AGAGUUUGAUCCUGGCUCAGGAUGAACGCUGGCGGCGUGCCUAAUACAUGCAAGUCGAACGAAACUUCUUUAUCACCGAGUGCUUGCACUCACCGAUAAAGAGUUGAGUGGCGAACGGGUGAGUAACACGUGGGCAACCUGCCCAAAAGAGGGGGAUAACACUUGGAAACAGGUGCUAAUACCGCAUAACCAUAGUUACCGCAUGGUAACUAUGUAAAAGGUGGCUAUGCUACCGCUUUUGGAUGGGCCCGCGGCGCAUUAGCUAGUUGGUGAGGUAAAGGCUUACCAAGGCAAUGAUGCGUAGCCGAACUGAGAGGUUGAUCGGCCACAUUGGGACUGAGACACGGCCCAAACUCCUACGGGAGGCAGCAGUAGGGAAUCUUCCACAAUGGGCGGAAGCCUGAUGGAGCAACGCCGCGUGGGUGAAGAAGGUCUUUGGAUCGUAAAACCCUGUUGUUAGAGAAGAAAGUGCGUGAGAGUAACUGUUCACGUUUCGACGGUAUCUAACCAGAAAGCCACGGCUAACUACGUGCCAGCAGCCGCGGUAAUACGUAGGUGGCAAGCGUUAUCCGGAUUUAUUGGGCGUAAAGGGAACGCAGGCGGUCUUUUAAGUCUGAUGUGAAAGCCUUCGGCUUAACCGGAGUAGUGCAUUGGAAACUGGGAGGCUUGAGUGCAGAAGAGGAGAGUGGAACUCCAUGUGUAGCGGUGAAAUGCGUAGAUAUAUGGAAGAACACCAGUGGCGAAAGCGGCUCUCUGGUCUGUAACUGACGCUGAGGUUCGAAAGCGUGGGUAGCAAACAGGAUUAGAUACCCUGGUAGUCCACGCCGUAAACGAUGAA